rnacentral:rRNA from 1 species
UACGGAUGGUGCAAGCGUUAUCCGGAUUUACUGGGUUUAAAGGGUGUGUAGGCGGGCUGUUAAGUCAGUGGUGAAAUCUCCGGGCUCAACCCGGAAACUGCCAUUGAUACUAAUGGUCUUGAAUUUUGUUGAGGUAGGCGGAAUAAGUCAUGUAGCGGUGAAAUGCAUAGAUAUGACUUAGAACACCAAUUGCGAAGGCAGCUUGCUAAACAAAUAUUGACGCUGAGGCACGAAAGCGUGGGGAUCAAACAGG